AUACCUUUCUCGGCCUUUUGGCUAAGAUCAAGUGUAGUAUCUGUUCUUAUCAGUUUAAUAUCUGAUAUGUGGAUCAUUGAUUCACACGAUAUUAAAUUUAUUUUUUAAGGGAAAGUGUCCAUUACAAUAGCUUGCUAUUCGGACUCUUAGGCAUUGCUCUUGUUUUGCACUACUGCAAGAGUCUGAUGCAUCCCAC
rfam:Phaseolus vulgaris cultivar G19833 chromosome 11, whole genome shotgun sequence.